rnacentral:rRNA from 1 species
UACGGGGGGGUGCGAGCGUUGUCCGGAAUCACUGGGCGUAAAGGCGCGUAGGUGGUUUGAUAAGGGUGUGGUGAAAGUCCGGGGCUCAACCCCGGAUCUGCCGUGCCGACUGUCAAACUCGAGGACUGUAGAGGCAGACGGUGAAUUCCGGGGUGUAGCGGUGGAAUGCGUAGAGAUCCGGAAGAACACCCGGUGGCGAAGGCGGCCUGCUGGGCAGUUGCUGACACUGAGGCGCGACAGCGUGGGGAGCAA